AACUCCUACGGGAGGCAGCAGUGAGGAAUAUUGGUCAAUGGCCGAGAGGCUGAACCAGCCAAGUCGCGUGAAGGAAGAAGGAUCUAUGGUUUGUAAACUUCUUUUAUAGGGGAAUAAAGUGGAGGACGUGUCCUUUUUUGUAUGUACCCUAUGAAUAAGCAUCGGCUAACUCCGUGCCAGCAGCCGCGGUAAUACGGAGGAUGCGAGCGUUAUCCGGAUUUAUUGGGUUUAAAGGGUGCGUAGGUGGUGAUUUAAGUCAGCGGUGAAAGUUUGUGGCUCAACCAUAAAAUUGCCGUUGAAACUGGGUUACUUGAGUGUGUUUGAGGUAGGCGGAAUGCGUGGUGUAGCGGUGAAAUGCAUAGAUAUCACGCAGAACUCCGAUUGCGAAGGCAGCUUACUAAACCAUAACUGACACUGAAGCACGAAAGCGUGGGGAUCAAACAGGAUUAGAUACCCUGGUAGUCCACGCAGUAAACGAUGAUUACUAGGAGUUUGCGAUACAAUGUAAGCUCUACAGCGAAAGCGUUAAGUAAUCCACCUGGGGAGUACGCCGGCAACGGUGAAACUCAAAGGAAUUGACGGGGGCCCGCACAAGCGGAGGAACAUGUGGUUUAAUUCGAUGAUACGCGAGGAACCUUACCCGGGUUUGAACGUAGUCUGACCGGAGUGGAAACACUUUUUCUAGCAAUAGCAGAUUACGAGGUGCUGCAUGGUUGUCGUCAGCUCGUGCCGUGAGGUGUCGGCUUAAGUGCCAUAACGAGCGCAACCCUUAUCGCUAGUUACUAACAGGUGAAGCUGAGGACUCUGGUGAGACUGCCAGCGUAAGCUGUGAGGAAGGUGGGGAUGACGUCAAAUCAGCACGGCCCUUACAUCCGGGGCGACACACGUGUUACAAUGGCAUGGACAAAGGGCAGCUACCUGGCGACAGGAUGCUAAUCUCCAAACCAUGUCUCAGUUCGGAUCGGAGUCUGCAACUCGACUCCGUGAAGCUGGAUUCGCUAGUAAUCGCGCAUCAGCCAUGGCGCGGUGAAUACGUUCCCGGGCCUUGUACACACCGCCCGUCAAGCCAUGGGAGCCGGGGGUACCUGAAGUCCGUAACCGCAAGGAUCGGCCUAGGGUAAAACUGGUGACUGGGGCUAAGUCGUAACAAGGUAGCCGUACCGGAAGGUGCGGCUG
rnacentral:rRNA from 1 species